rnacentral:rRNA from 1 species
AUGAACGCUAGCUACAGGCUUAACACAUGCAAGUCGAGGGGCAGCAUGGUCUUAGCUUGCUAAGGCCGAUGGCGACCGGCGCACGGGUGAGUAACACGUAUCCAACCUGCCGUCUACUCUUGGACAGCCUUCUGAAAGGAAGAUUAAUACAAGAUGGCAUCAUGAGUCCGCAUGUUCACAUGAUUAAAGGUAUUCCGGUAGACGAUGGGGAUGCGUUCCAUUAGAUAGUAGGCGGGGUAACGGCCCACCUAGUCUUCGAUGGAUAGGGGUUCUGAGAGGAAGGUCCCCCACAUUGGAACUGAGACACGGUCCAAACUCCUACGGGAGGCAGCAGUGAGGAAUAUUGGUCAAUGGGCGAGAGCCUGAACCAGCCAAGUAGCGUGAAGGAUGACUGCCCUAUGGGUUGUAAACUUCUUUUAUAAAGGAAUAAAGUCGGGUAUGGAUACCCGUUUGCAUGUACUUUAUGAAUAAGGAUCGGCUAACUCCGUGCCAGCAGCCGCGGUAAUACGGAGGAUCCGAGCGUUAUCCGGAUUUAUUGGGUUUAAAGGGAGCGUAGAUGGAUAUUUAAGUCAGUUGUGAAAGUUUGCGGCUCAACCGUAAAAUUGCAGUUGAUACUGGAUAUCUUGAGUGCAGUUGAGGCAGGCGGAAUUCGUGGUGUAGCGGUGAAAUGCUUAGAUAUCACGAAGAACUCCGAUUGCGAAGGCAGCCUGCUAAGCUGCAACUGACAUUGAGGCUCGAAAGUGUGGGUAUCAAACAGGAUUAGAUACCCUGGUAGUCCACACGGUAAACGAUGAAUACUCGCUGUUUGCGAUAUACUGCAAGCGGCCAAGCGAAAGCGUUAAGUAUUCCACCUGGGGAGUACGCCGGCAACGGUGAAACUCAAAGGAAUUGACGGGGGCCCGCACAAGCAGUGGAGUAUGUGGUUUAAUUCGACGCAACGCGAAGAACCUUACCAAGGCUUGACAUAUAGAUGAAUUAGUAAGAGAUUAUUAAGUCCUUCGGGACAUCUAUACAGGUGGUGCAUGGUUGUCGUCAGCUCGUGCCGUGAGGUGUUGGGUUAAGUCCCGCAACGAGCGCAACCCUUGUUGUCAGUUACUAACAGGUUCCGCUGAGGACUCUGACAAGACUGCCAUCGUAAGAUGUGAGGAAGGUGGGGAUGACGUCAAAUCAGCACGGCCCUUACGUCCGGGGCUACACACGUGUUACAAUGGGGGGUACAGAGGGCCGCUACCACGCGAGUGGAUGCCAAUCCCCAAAACCUCUCUCAGUUCGGACUGGAGUCUGCAACCCGACUCCACGAAGCUGGAUUCGCUAGUAAUCGCGCAUCAGCCACGGCGCGGUGAAUACGUUCCCGGGCCUUGUACACACCGCCCGUCAAGCCAUGGGAGCCGGGGGUACCUGAAGUGCGUAACCGCGAGGAGCGCCCUAGGGUAAAACUGGUGACUGGGGCU